rnacentral:rRNA from 1 species
AUAAUACUCCAUAGAUUAGAGACACUGGAAUGUUCUUUAGUCGAAAGUUCUGGCGCCUUAGGAUGGAUCUGCGGUCGAUUAGGUUGUUGUUGGGGUAACGGCCCAACAAGCCUGUAAUCGAUACGGGUUGUGGGAGCAAGAGCCCGGAGAUGGAAUCUGAGACACGAUUCCAGGCCCUACGGGGCGCAGCAGGCGCGAAAACUUUACAAUGCAGGAAACUGUGAUAAGGGAACUCCGAGUGCCCGUAUACGCGGGCUGUCCAGGUGUUUAAAAAUCAUCUGAAGAAAGGGCCGGGCAAGACCGGUGCCAGCCGCCGCGGUAAUACCGGCGGCUCGAGUGGUGGCCACUAUUAUUGGGCUUAAAGCGUCCGUAGCUGGACCGAUAAGUCUCUUGGGAAAUCCGCCGGCUCAACCGGCGGGCGUCUAAGGGAUACUGUUAGUCUAGGGACCGGGAGAGGUGAGAGGUACUCCGGGGGUAGGAGUGAAAUCCUGUAAUCCCCGGGGGACCACCGAUGGCGAAGGCAUCUCACCAGAACGGCUCCGACAGUGAGGGACGAAAGCUGGGGGAGCGAACCGGAUUAAUACCCGGGUAGUCCCAGCCGUAAACUAUGCGCGUUAGGUGU